UGCAAUCAGACCUGCCUUCCA
rnacentral:misc_RNA from 1 species